AAUAAUGAAAUUAAUUAUAGAAACCGAAUUAGAAAAAUAAUGAAAAACCUAAAAGAAAAAUUAAUAUGGAUAGAAAAAACUUUAGAAAAUUUAGAAAAAAAUACAUGUGAUAGUUUAUAUAAUUUAAAAAAUUCACUACGAAAAGAACAACACAAGAUAAUAAAUAACAUUGAAAAUCUAGAAUUAGAUAUAUACUACAGUACAGAUAGGAUAAAUUAUUAUACGAAAAUUUGUAACUCUGCAAUCACUACAGGAUAAAAUAAUAAACAAAUUAAUGAAUAUAUCUUACAAAAAAAGUAAAUCAUUAAAAGAUAUUAAAACAAAAUUUAAAAAAUAUCCACGCACAAAUAAAAAUAGAUUCACUAUAUACCUAAUAAAUUUAUUAGGUAUCCGCAUCCCUACAAAUGGUAUAAUCCGACAUUCAUAUAGAAAGAGAAGCAAGUGUUCUGAAAUAAAAUGUUUCUAGUUACUGGUUACAAAAAUUAAACAUGUGGUUAAAGGAGAAAAUGACAAAAGAGGCAUUUGGACACCUGGCGUUUAACAUUAUAUUUAAGUUAAACUAAUCACUUAAUGGUGUUCAACAUUUUAUUUUAUAUCUGAAUGUGGUUUCAGGAUCAGUAACGAAAAAAACACAACCAUGAUCAAAAUUGCUCAUGAAUCCACUUUUCCUUAAAACCUGUAAUAAACCCAAAAAUGAAGUGUUUUUGAUCAUGAAUCCACUUUUCCUUAAAACCUGUAAUAAACCCAAAAAUGAAGUGUUCAUAUUUACAGACCCACGUACACACAAAUAAACUUGUAUCCAACCAUAUUUACCAAUAAUAUUCCCAAACGACCACAACAAUCAAAUGGCAUAAACACAUGCACUCGUAUAUCUACAAAUCUGCGCAUUCAACACCAAAUGAUUCUUUAGAUUCUAAAGGGUUACAACUUUUACUUGCAAAACUGAAAUAACAACAAACCCAUAACUUUUACUUGCAAGGCCAAGAUAGCAACAACACAACUCGAAAUCAAAAUUAAAUUUUGUAUUCGACAGAAUCAACAACAGAUGAAAAGGACGAAAACAAAACAAGAAGGGAGCGAGUUCGGAUCUUUUUUUGGACAGCAAACUCGGGAUCAACGUAAGACUCCUUUUCGGCCAAUAACUCAAAGUCCCGAAAGCUCAAAAUUUUACCCCCAAAAACGAAAAAUGAAAAACAAAGAAGAUAGCAGUGACUACAACAACUUGAUUUUUCCCUUGUUUUACUCCUUUUCCUUAUACCCACUACGAUUUUUGACCUUCAACGCUAUUUUUCUUUCUUUUUUGGUUUUUCCUGCUCUUUCACAUAAUUUUUUCUCAUGAAUUUCUUUUGCCUAUCUCACCUAUUUCUUUUUCUUUUUCUUUUUCUUCUCACAUAGCCGAAACUUCUCACAAAUAUUUUUUCUUUGCUCUCCAAUCUUGAACCUUGUCCUAUAGAGGUGGACAAGCCACUAUUUAUAGGAGCAAAUACGGACUUGAAAGUCCGAAUUUGAAACCUUAAAAUAUAAAAUGGGAAAGAAGAAGGACGAAAUUUGAAUUCAAAUCACAAAAGAAUCUACAAACCUUAACUUUUCCAGGGCAUUAAUGGUGGAUUUGAAAUCAACAAUAGAUUAUUAUACCAUUUUGGGACUGCUCUUCUCAAUUUUUUGGAUUCACGGGUUUGGGAUGAUGAAAACGGGAGAUUCACGUAGGCUAGGGGAUAGCAGUGGUGGCAGAGACGGCCAGCUAUGGUGGUCAGAGCUUUCUGGUUUUGGUGAUGGUGGAGGAGAGAUGUGGAGAAGUGAGAGGAAAGGGAAGACUGGGUGAAGGUGGAGGAGAGAGGUGGAGAAGUGAGAGGAAAGGGCAGACUAUUUUGGGAAAGGAAGAUGGAGACUAAGUUUUUUUUGGAAAAUGGGAAGGCACGCGUGACUGAAUUUUUGGGAAAUAAAAAAAAAUCUAAUGUAUUAAUAUGUUGACUCAAAUACGGGCCGUCCGAUCAUUUAAUCGGGCGGUCUAGGUUUUAAUUUAAGAAAUAAAAUAAGUAAUAAAUUUUAUAUAUAUAUCAAAGCCGUAAGAUUCUAGGAGACUUUAUUAUAUGAAUUAUUU
rnacentral:lncRNA from 1 species